AUGUGCAACUUGGUAUUUGGCAGCUGGCUUGGCCUUGACUACAACUUGGCAGCAUGUUUCAUUUUAGCAGCAGGCUUAGCCUUAGCAGUUGGCUUGGUUUUCGCAGCCGGAUUGGGCUUGGAAGCAGCAUGCUUCUUACUUCUGGUUUUCUGUUUUCACGGGUUUGGUUGUGAAUUGUUUCCUGAACCGAACUUGCAUUGCAGGGCUGGCUUUAAUGGUUGA